ACACAUGCCGGGGGGCGUCACUUGAGACUGAGAGCCCGGCGCGUUAAAAAAGCGCCUGGCGACCCCUUGAACCUGAUCCGGGUAAUUCCGGCGGAGGGAACGGCUAGGCCAGUAAGG
rnacentral:ncRNA from 1 species